rnacentral:rRNA from 1 species
GAUGAACGCUGGCGGUGUGCCUAAUACAUGCAAGUCGAGCGAACGGACGAGGAGCUUACUCCUCUGACGUUAGCGGCGGACGGGUGAGUAACACGUGGAUAACCUACCUAUAAGACUGGGAUAACUUCGGGAAACCGGAGCUAAUACCGGAUAACAUGUUGAACCGCAUGGUUCAACAGUGAAAGACGGUCUUGCUGUCACUUAUAGAUGGAUCCGCGUCGCAUUAGCUAGUUGGUAAGGUAACGGCUUACCAAGGCAACGAUGCGUAGCCGACCUGAGAGGGUGAUCGGCCACACUGGAACUGAGACACGGUCCAGACUCCUACGGGAGGCAGCAGUAGGGAAUCUUCCGCAAUGGGCGAAAGCCUGACGGAGCAACGCCGCGUGAGUGAAGAAGGUCUUCGGAUCGUAAAACUCUGUUAUUAGGGAAGAACAAAUGUGUAGGUAACUAUGCACGUCUUGACGGUACCUAAUCAGAAAGCCACGGCUAACUACAUG